rfam:Salmo salar isolate Sally breed double haploid chromosome ssa20, whole genome shotgun sequence.
GAUAGAGGUGACUGUAAGUCGCUCUGGAUUAGAGUGUCUGCUAAAUGUCUGAAA